GUAAGGGUUCUGAGAGAAGGUCCCCCACACUGAACUGAGACACGGUCCAGACUCUUACGAGAGGCAACAGUGAGGCAUAUUGCUCAGUGGACGAAAGUCUGAACCAGCCAAGUAGCGUGCAGGAUGACGUCCCUCUGGUUUGUAAACUGCGUAUAGCUGGGAAUAAAAAAGAGGACGUGUCCUCUAUCGUAUGUACCUUCAGAAAAAGGACCGGCUAAUUCCGUGCCAGCAGCCGCGGUAAUACGGAAGGUCCAGGCGUUAUCCGGAUUUAUUGGGUUUAAAGGGAACGUAGGCGGAUUAUUUAGUCAGUGGUGAAAGACGGUGGCUCAACCAUCGUUAGCCAUUGAAACUGGUAGUCUUGACUGCAGACAGGGAUGCUGGAACUCGUGGUGUAGCGGUGAGAUGCUUAGAUAUCACGAUGAACUCCGAUCGCGAAGGCAGGUGUCCGGGCUGCAACUGACGCUGAGGCUCGAAAGUGUGGGUAUCAAACAGGAUUAGAUACCUUGGUAGUCCACAUCAGUAAACGAUGUAUACUCGCGGUCUGCGAUAUAUUGUAAGCCGCCAAGCGAAAGCAUUAAGUAUACCACCUGGGGAGUACGCCGGCAACGGUGAACUCAAAGGA
rnacentral:rRNA from 1 species